GUUAGGUUAAGUAAAGGGAAGGGAAGGAAAAGGUUAGGUUAAGUAAAGGGAAGGGAAGGAAAAGGUUAGGUUAAGUAAAGGGAAGGGAAGGGAAAGGAAAGGUUAGGUUAAGUAAAGGGAAGGGAAGGAAAAGGUUAGGUUAAGUAAAGGGAAGGGAAGGAAAAGGUUAGGUUAAGUAAAGGGAAGGGAAGGGAAGGAAAAGGUUAGGUUAAGUAAAGGGAAGGGAAGGAAAAGGUUAGGUUAAGUAAAGGGAAGGGAAGGGAAGGGAAAGGUUAGGUUAAGUAAAGGGAAGGGAAGGGAAAGGUUAGGUUAAGUAAAGGAAAGGGAAGGAAAAGGUUAGGUUAAGUAAAGGAAAGGGAAGGAAAAGGUUAGGUUAAGUAAAGGGAAGGGAAGGAAAAGGUUAGGUUAAGUAAAGGGAAGGGAAAGGUUAGGUUAAGUAAAGGGAAGGGAAGGGAAAGGUUAGGUUAAGUAAAGGGAAGGGAAGGGAAAGGUUAGGUUAAGUAAAGGAAAGGGAAGGGAAAGGUUAGGUUAAGUAAAGGAAAGGGAAGGGAAAGGUUAGGUUAAGUAAAGGAAAGGGAAGGAAAAGGUUAGGUUAAGUAAAGGAAAGGGAAGGGAAAGGUUAGGUUAAGUAAAGGGAAG